rnacentral:lncRNA from 1 species
CAUGUAUUUUCCUGCCUUUCCUAACUCGUUUCUAAUGUCUUAGACUGCCAUUCACAAGAUGGAUCUUGCAGACUUCAGCACAUCUACAGCAUCGGGAACACCAAACGAUGAUGGCCAGAAGGUCGAUAUGUGCCCUCUGAGGAAACACCUUCAAGCAGAACCUCACUUUCUGAUCUUCCUGAAGUCUCAGAAUCCAGAUUACGCACCAUCCCUAUGCGGAAUCAGGACAACCUCCCUCUGAGAAUUCAGAGCCUGCAGGAUGCUUAGUAGGACAUGCCUGGAAUUACACAGAUUAUGCCUCCUUGCAUGGGAGAAGUAGAAAAGUCACAGCAUGGGUUAAAAAUACGCUUGUCUUCUCUCAAUAAUUAAUUGUUUAGGGAUUAACAUGAGGUUUUGUGUUUUGAAAGUAAACUAAUCCACUCGUUGGCUGGUGUGUAAUGAAGGAGAACAGGCUACUGUCAAGCAGGCUGAAAACAGUGAAAAUUAACUACAAGUGCCACGACUCACAUAUUUUAUGUAUAUGAGUAAUGUAUUCUCUGUGGGACAGAAGAUGAAAAUAUCACACAGAAAAGAAAAACACAGUGGCUACAAAUUUAAUAAAACAAGCAGUCAUACUUAGCCUCGCAGUAUAGUCUGGCAUUUUUACUGCCCGAUGGUAUCAAGGUUGGGCCAGUGCAAGAGAAUUCAUGCUCGUGAACUCACAAGAAGCACAAACUUCACUUUCUGCAGCCUCUCUGCUUGCAGAGCUAGCAAAAGGGAAGGAAAAU